rnacentral:lncRNA from 1 species
UCAUCCCUCGCGGCUGGGGUUUCGGAUCAAGCGUCUUCGACCCGUGGGAUCCUUUCGAAGCCUGCCCCUUCAUCUCCUCCCUCUCCUCUUUCCCUCGCCCUUCCGUCCACGGUGAGACCUCCGCCUUCGCCAACGCCUGCAUCGACUGGAAGGAGACCCCGGAGGCCCAUGUCUUCAAGGCCGACCUCCCCGGCCUGAAGAAGGAGGAGGUGAAGGUUGAGGUGGAGGAGGGCAACGUCCUCCAGAUCAGCGGCGAGCGGAGACGGGAGCAGGAAGAGAAGACCGACAUCUGGCACCGCAUGGAGAGGAGCAUCGGCAAGUUUAUGAGGCGGUUCCGGCUGCCGGAGAACGCGAAGAUGGACCAGGUGAAGGCGACCAUGGAGAACGGAGUGCUCACCGUGACCGUGCCCAAGGAGGAGCUCAAGAAGCUGGAGGUGAAAUCCAUCGAGAUAUCUGGCUGAGGUUCUUUUGAGGAG